CUCUUCUCCUCUUCCCCCAUUUUCUCCCGACGCCGACUCCUUGCCAAAACCGCCGGCGAAGGUUCCAUCUUCUCCCCUGUCUUCAUCUUCUUCACCGCCGGUCACCAUGAGUUCACCGCCAACAGCAGUCCUUCCCUCUGUCGUUGCCUCAUCGCCGUAGAGAUCUCAGUCUACCGCCGGCCUCUCCUUCUCUUCCUCUCCCGAGCGUCGGCCGCCGGCAAGUAUCCCGUGCCCUAGCGACCCGCGGCUCCCACACCCUCUCGAGACAUCGCCGGCCACUGGAAUCCAGCGCCGCUGCUGUGCCCUAAGUCCUCGUACUCCACUACCGCCGCCGAUCGGUCAGCACAGCCCAGAGCCGCCGGCCCCAGGAACCCUAAUGUCAAAUCCUCCCUCUCCUCUUCUGGUCGCAGGCAUUUGGAGAUUGCCAGGAAUCUAGCAUCCGAGCCUUCUUCUUGUGGCGUUGCCCUAGAUCGACGCCCAACGCGAGAGGUAUAUUUCCGUGCCCUAGCUUCUGUCCACUCUCCGACACCACCAGUGAGAUGCUCCAACACCUGCAUCUUCGCCGGGUGUUGUGGUCGCCGGAGAAGGAUCGACGCUAGAACUACCUCCUCAUGAUCUGAUUUAUAAGUGCUAGGUAUUUGGUUUUGGAAGACAACAGCUAUUUUCGAGUGAGUCAACAACAAAGUCGACUGGAUUUGGGAAAAGAGUGGGCAACAGUAGAUCAUCUUUCGAUGGUGAAACCCUUUCAGUCGUGAGCCAUCAUUAGCUACGACAAAUUUGGACUUUGAUCCGAGACGAUGUCUCGACGAGGGAUCUAUUGCGGAUACGAUCCUUUCUAUUGGAGGCGGGU